rnacentral:rRNA from 1 species
UACGUAGGGGGCAAGCGUUGUCCGGAUUUAUUGGGCGUAAAGAGCGUGUAGGCGGCCACACAGGUCUGCUGUGAAAACUCGAGGCUCAACCUCGAGCUGUCGGUGGAAACCGUGUGGCUAGAGUCCGGAAGAGGAGAGUGGAAUUCCCGGUGUAGCGGUGAAAUGCGCAGAUAUCGGGAAGAACACCCGUGGCGAAGGCGGCUCUCUGGUACGUGACUGACGCUGAGACGCGAAAGCGUGGGGAGCAAACAGG